GGGUUGUGAGGUUAAGCGACUAAGCGUACACGGUGGAUGCCCUGGCAGUCAGAGGCGAUGAAGGACGUGCUAAUCUGCGAUAAGCGUCGGUGAGGUGAUAUGAACCGUUAUAACCGGCGAUUUCCGAAUGGGGAAACCCAGUGUGUUUCGACACACUAUCAUUAACUGAAUCCAUAGGUUAAUGAGGCGAACCGGGGGAACUGAAACAUCUAAGUACCCCGAGGAAAAGAAAUCAACCGAGAUUCCCCCAGUAGCGGCGAGCGAACGGGGAGGAGCCCAGAGCCUGAAUCAGUGUGUGUGUUAGUGGAAGCGUCUGGAAAGGCGUGCGAUACAGGGUGACAGCCCCGUACACAAAAAUGCACAUAUUGUGAGCUCGAUGAGUAGGGCGGGACACGUGGUAUCCUGUCUGAAUAUGGGGGGACCAUCCUCCAAGGCUAAAUACUCCUGACUGACCGAUAGUGAACCAGUACCGUGAGGGAAAGGCGAAAAGAACCCCGGCGAGGGGAGUGAAAAAGAACCUGAAACCGUGUACGUACAAGCAGUGGGAGCCUCUUAAUGGGGUGACUGCGUACCUUUUGUAUAAUGGGUCAGCGACUUAUAUUCUGUAGCAAGGUUAACCGAAUAGGGGAGCCGAAGGGAAACCGAGUCUUAACUGGGCGUUAAGUUGCAGGGUAUAGACCCGAAACCCGGUGAUCUAGCCAUGGGCAGGUUGAAGGUUGGGUAACACUAACUGGAGGACCGAACCGACUAAUGUUGAAAAAUUAGCGGAUGACUUGUGGCUGGGGGUGAAAGGCCAAUCAAACCGGGAGAUAGCUGGUUCUCCCCGAAAGCUAUUUAGGUAGCGCCUCGUGAAUUCAUCUCCGGGGGUAGAGCACUGUUUCGGCAAGGGGGUCAUCCCGACUUACCAACCCGAUGCAAACUGCGAAUACCGGAGAAUGUUAUCACGGGAGACACACGGCGGGUGCUAACGUCCGUCGUGAAGAGGGAAACAACCCAGACCGCCAGCUAAGGUCCCAAAGUCAUGGUUAAGUGGGAAACGAUGUGGGAAGGCCCAGACAGCCAGGAUGUUGGCUUAGAAGCAGCCAUCAUUUAAAGAAAGCGUAAUAGCUCACUGGUCGAGUCGGCCUGCGCGGAAGAUGUAACGGGGCUAAACCAUGCACCGAAGCUGCGGCAGCGACGCUUAUGCGUUGUUGGGUAGGGGAGCGUUCUGUAAGCCUGUGAAGGUGUGCUGUGAGGCAUGCUGGAGGUAUCAGAAGUGCGAAUGCUGACAUAAGUAACGAUAAAGCGGGUGAAAAGCCCGCUCGCCGGAAGACCAAGGGUUCCUGUCCAACGUUAAUCGGGGCAGGGUGAGUCGACCCCUAAGGCGAGGCCGAAAGGCGUAGUCGAUGGGAAACAGGUUAAUAUUCCUGUACUUGGUGUUACUGCGAAGGGGGGACGGAGAAGGCUAUGUUGGCCGGGCGACGGUUGUCCCGGUUUAAGCGUGUAGGCUGAUUUUCCAGGCAAAUCCGGAAAAUCAAGGCUGAGGCGUGAUGACGAGGCACUACGGUGCUGAAGCAACAAAUGCCCUGCUUCCAGGAAAAGCCUCUAAGCAUCAGGUAACAUCAAAUCGUACCCCAAACCGACACAGGUGGUCAGGUAGAGAAUACCAAGGCGCUUGAGAGAACUCGGGUGAAGGAACUAGGCAAAAUGGUGCCGUAACUUCGGGAGAAGGCACGCUGAUAUGUAGGUGAAGCGACUUGCUCGUGGAGCUGAAAUCAGUCGAAGAUACCAGCUGGCUGCAACUGUUUAUUAAAAACACAGCACUGUGCAAACACGAAAGUGGACGUAUACGGUGUGACGCCUGCCCGGUGCCGGAAGGUUAAUUGAUGGGGUUAGCGGCAACGCGAAGCUCUUGAUCGAAGCCCCGGUAAACGGCGGCCGUAACUAUAACGGUCCUAAGGUAGCGAAAUUCCUUGUCGGGUAAGUUCCGACCUGCACGAAUGGCGUAAUGAUGGCCAGGCUGUCUCCACCCGAGACUCAGUGAAAUUGAACUCGCUGUGAAGAUGCAGUGUACCCGCGGCAAGACGGAAAGACCCCGUGAACCUUUACUAUAGCUUGACACUGAACAUUGAGCCUUGAUGUGUAGGAUAGGUGGGAGGCUUUGAAGUGUGGACGCCAGUCUGCAUGGAGCCGACCUUGAAAUACCACCCUUUAAUGUUUGAUGUUCUAACGUUGGCCCGUAAUCCGGGUUGCGGACAGUGUCUGGUGGGUAGUUUGACUGGGGCGGUCUCCUCCUAAAGAGUAACGGAGGAGCACGAAGGUUGGCUAAUCCUGGUCGGACAUCAGGAGGUUAGUGCAAUGGCAUAAGCCAGCUUGACUGCGAGCGUGACGGCGCGAGCAGGUGCGAAAGCAGGUCAUAGUGAUCCGGUGGUUCUGAAUGGAAGGGCCAUCGCUCAACGGAUAAAAGGUACUCCGGGGAUAACAGGCUGAUACCGCCCAAGAGUUCAUAUCGACGGCGGUGUUUGGCACCUCGAUGUCGGCUCAUCACAUCCUGGGGCUGAAGUAGGUCCCAAGGGUAUGGCUGUUCGCCAUUUAAAGUGGUACGCGAGCUGGGUUUAGAACGUCGUGAGACAGUUCGGUCCCUAUCUGCCGUGGGCGCUGGAGAACUGAGGGGGGCUGCUCCUAGUACGAGAGGACCGGAGUGGACGCAUCACUGGUGUUCGGGUUGUCAUGCCAAUGGCACUGCCCGGUAGCUAAAUGCGGAAGAGAUAAGUGCUGAAAGCAUCUAAGCACGAAACUUGCCCCGAGAUGAGUUCUCCCUGACUCCUUGAGAGUCCUGAAGGAACGUUGAAGACGACGACGUUGAUAGGCCGGGUGUGUAAGCGCAGCGAUGCGUUGAGCUAACCGGUACUAAUGAACCGUGAGGCUUAACCUUACAACGCCGAAG
rnacentral:rRNA from 1 species